UUGAUGCCACAAAUUUGAAUAAGAUUUUCAAGACAACUAUCGUUCUAUGGUCAGAUGUUUUUGUAUUUUGAGAAAUAUUUUGUCAACACAGUGAUUGUGUUAAGAGAUCUGUUUAACUGCAGUUAAUACUGAUCACAUCUAGUUCCAUGACAUGCUUCCUGAAGGGUUUACAGUUGUGUACAGAUUGGUGUAUCUCUAUACAUUGGCCGAGGCUUCCAUCUGAGGACAUAAGGUCAGAACAGAAGAACAUACAGAAACUAUUGCAGCAUGUGUCAUUUGUAAAGCAUAUUAUUUUAUUAAUGCAUAUGUGUAUACUGGUAAUAUCGAGCUGUCUAAGUGCAUUGUGCAUCAUGAUCACUCUUACUGUGUUAUAUCUCAAUCUGACACUCCAGUAUGUCCAGGGCAUACUAGUAUGUGUUGCAUUUUGACAUCAUUGUUCCACUAUCACUUGGAACUGGAGGCUUCUCCCAUCUUGUACCUUUAAUUAUAAACAUGAUCAAAGUUAUUCAUUUACAAUUAAAUAGAAGAAUUUGUAUGGUUACCAUUGUGUAAUCAUUCUCAUAUGUUAUACUCAUUUUGUUUUGUAUAUUUGUUUUUAAUGUGUUCAUUACAUUUGACUGAACUCUGCUUGUAUAUGAUCAUGACAUGUGAAUGUGGGGAACCAUGCAUAAUUAGUUGUCAGUUCUACAACAUGGGUUCACAAGCUGUUCGGGUUAGGCACAGGAAUUUCUCUAGUCUCCGGAUAAUAUUCCACCCCAAGUCUGCAACAAUUGUCGGAAAAAACUCCAAAUUGGAAUUAGAAAUGUGUCAGUUCAUCAUGUUCAUGAUCUUACUUUCAUGUCUAAUUUUAUACUGUUUUAAAGUUGCCUUGUAUUUCUCUGGUAACAGGAGGAACAUGGAGGAAGAGGCUGUAACGCAUAGUGUUACAUUAUAGCAGUAAAUAGGAAAGUAGCAUGUUCAAAGACCUCCGAAACAGUUGUUGCUAAUUUGCCUGAUGACAGCAUUUGUGUGGAAUGUGUAUGGAAUCUGAGCUGUGUGUAAUAAGUGGUAUUUUACAGUACAAUAUUUUCUCAGGUUUGAUGAUGAUGUGGAAUUGAUGAUGAUGAUGAUGUGUCAAUUGAAUGGUAAUUAUUGUCUACUUAUUGCAUUUGUGUUGACUGAUGUGAAAAGGAAUUUCUGGGGGGUUCUUAUUUAGUUCUGUAAAGUACAUUUUUGACAACAAAGUCUCCCGAUUUAGUGAUGGGGACUUGAGGGAAGUCU